rnacentral:rRNA from 1 species
GACGAACGCUGGCGGCGUGCUUAACACAUGCAAGUCGAGCGGGAUCCAACCGGUGGCAACACCGGGGAAGAUCUAGCGGCGAACGGGUGAGUAACACGUGAGCAACCUGCCCCGAAGACUGGGAUAACACCGGGAAACCGGGUGCUAAUACCGGAUGUCGUCAUUAGGCCGCAUGACCUGAUGAUGAAAGGAUUCAUCGCUUCGGGAGGGGCUCGCGGGCUAUCAGCUUGUUGGUGGGGUAACGGCCUACCAAGGCGACGACGGCUAGCUGGUCUGAGAGGACGACCAGCCACACUGGGACUGAGACACGGCCCAGACUCCUACGGGAGGCAGCAGU